UACGAAGGGGGCUAGCGUUGCUCGGAAUUACUGGGCGUAAAGGGCGCGUAGGCGGAUAGUUCAGUCGGGGGUGAAAGCCCGGGGCUCAACCUCGGAACUGCCCUCGAUACUGGCUAUCUUGAGUACGGGAGAGGUGUGUGGAACUCCGAGUGUAGAGGUGAAAUUCGUAGAUAUUCGGAAGAACACCAGUGGCGAAGGCGACACACUGGCCCGUUACUGACGCUGAGGCGCGAAAGCGUGGGGAGCAAACAGG
rnacentral:rRNA from 1 species